UGGCGGCGUAGUGAAGUGGUAACACAUGGCUCUGCAAAAGCUUAAUCGUCGGUUCAAAUCCGACCGUCGCCU
rnacentral:tRNA from 1 species